rnacentral:rRNA from 1 species
AUUGAACGCUGGCGGAAUGCUUUACACAUGCAAGUCGAACGGCAGCACGGACUUCGGUCUGGUGGCGAGUGGCGAACGGGUGAGUAAUGUAUCGGAACGUGCCCAGUCGUGGGGGAUAACGUAGUGAAAAUUACGCUAAUACCGCAUACGAUCUAUGGAUGAAAGCGGGGGAUCGCAAGACCUCGCGCGAUUGGAGCGGCCGAUAUCAGAUUAGGUAGUUGGUGGGGUAAAGGCCCACCAAGCCAACGAUCUGUAGCUGGUCUGAGAGGACGACCAGCCACACAGGAACUGAGACACGGUCCAGACGCCUACGGGAGGCAGCAGUGGGGAAUUUUGGACAAUGGGCGAAAGCCUGAUCCAGCCAUUCCGCGUGCAGGAUGAAGGCCCUCGGGUUGUAAACUGCUUUUGUACAGAACGAAAAGGUUUCUACUAAUACUAGGAGCUCAUGACGGUACUGUAAGAAUAAGCACCGGCUAACUACGUGCCAGCCGCCGCGGUAA